UACGUAGGGUGCGAGCGUUGUCCGGAAUUAUUGGGCGUAAAGAGCUCGUAGGCGGUUUGUUGCGUCGGCCGUGAAAACCUGCAGCUUAACUGUGGCCUGCGGCCGAUACGGGCAGACUUGAGUUCGGUAGGGGAGACUGGAAUUCCUGGUGUAGCGGUGAAAUGCGCAGAUAUCAGGAGGAACACCGGUGGCGAAGGCGGGUCUCUGGGCCGAUACUGACGCUGAGGAGCGAAAGCGUGGGGAGCGAACAGG
rnacentral:rRNA from 1 species